UUAUUUUUUUUAUUUUUAUUUUAUACAGAGAAGGGGAAAUCCCCGAAAACAACAACAAGGCAGCCUCACCUGGAGGGUCUUGAAGAAAAAGCACAUCUUCAUCUCCACUUACAGCAAUAUUGGCAAGCUUAUCAGCUACCAAAAUUGAUUAUAAGCAAAGGUGAUACAUAAACAAAGAUAGAUAUCAAAUAAGGGGGCAAAAUACAGAGAGGAAGAUAAUAAUUUCAGGCUAAGAUAUCCUCUAUAGGUUUGGCCUCCAAUUUGGCUUUCUCAACGUCCUGGAAUGCUUGUUCCUUAGCCAACUUCUUAAGCCUGGCUAGCUCAAGG
rnacentral:misc_RNA from 1 species